UUAAUUAGCAUCGUCUUCACCCAUUUUGUUUCUCUCAGGUGUAGUGAUGAGCCACUUCUAGUUCUUAGUGACUCUGAGAUGACUGCAACCUAUUUGCUCUGUUAGUCAUUGGAGCAGUGCACCUAGAAGGCCAUGCUGCUGUUUUAGGAUGAGAUUAACGUAUAGAAUUUACCUUUCAAGGAGAUCAGUCAAUUGGAGAGAAUUCCUCAGGUUAUCCUAGAGAGCACUCUUGGUACCAUAUUCUGCUGAACUCUGAUUAUAUUCAAUGGGGAUCAGGCCUCUACUCCACCCUAGAAUGCCUGUUGCUCUCAAAGGAAAUAAGGUACAAUUUCAUUAUGGCAAAGCAGUCUGUCCAUAAUACUCUCUUUUCAGAAGACUAGCUCUUGCUACACUCACAGUGGGCUUUAGCCUUCCCAGUAACUCGUG
rnacentral:lncRNA from 1 species